rnacentral:rRNA from 1 species
UACGUAGGGUGCAAGCGUUGUCCGGAAUUAUUGGGCGUAAAGAGCUCGUAGGCGGUCUGUCGCGUCGGCUGUGAAAACCCGAGGCUCAACCUCGGGCCUGCAGUCGAUACGGGCAAACUAGAGUACUGCAGGGGAGACUGGAAUUCCUGGUGUAGCGGUGAAAUGCGCAGAUAUCAGGAGGAACACCGGUGGCGAAGGCGGUCUGCUGGGCAGUUGCUGACACUGAGGCGCGACAGCGUGGGGAGCAAACAGG